CUUUUAUUUUGUUAUUUUGCUAAAAAAAAGUUAAUAUUUAUUCUUUUUAAGAUUUUUAAAUAUCAUUUUUGUUUUUAUUUUAUUAUUGAUUUUCAUUUUUUAUGUUUUAUUAUUUUGACAAUUUUAUUUUAGUUGUAUAAAAUCAAAAUAUUUUUAUUUUAGGUUAGAAAGUAUUCACAUUAAAGAUUUUAUUGAUUGCUUGAUUCACUUGUAUUAUUUGAAAUUAAUUUUUUAACCUAAAUUUACUAGUAUAAAUAGGGAACCAAUCA
rnacentral:lncRNA from 1 species